GACGAACGCUGGCGGCGUGCCUAAUACAUGCAAGUCGAACGAAACUUUCUUACACCGAAUGCUUGCAUUCACCGUAAGAAGUUGAGUGGCGGACGGGUGAGUAACACGUGGGUAACCUGCCUAAAAGAAGGGGAUAACACUUGGAAACAGGUGCUAAUACCGUAUAUCUCUAAGGAUCGCAUGAUCCUUAGAUGAAAGAUGGUUCUGCUAUCGCUUUUAGAUGGACCCGCGGCGUAUUAACUAGUUGGUGGCGUAACGGCCUACCAAGGUGAUGAUACGUAGCCGAACUGAGAGGUUGAUCGGCCACAUUGGGACUGAGACACGGCCCAAACUCCUACGGGAGGCAGCAGUAGGGAAUCUUCCACAAUGGACGCAAGUCUGAUGGAGCAACGCCGCGUGAGUGAAGAAGGUCUUCGGAUCGUAAAACUCUGUUGUUAGAGAAGAACACGAGUGAGAGUAACUGUUCAUUCGAUGACGGUAUCUAACCAGCAAGUCACGGCUAACUACGUGCCAGCAGCCGCGGUAAUACGUAGGUGGCAAGCGUUGUCCGGAUUUAUUGGGCGUAAAGGGAACGCAGGCGGUCUUUUAAGUCUGAUGUGAAAGCCUUCGGCUUAACCGGAGUAGUGCAUUGGAAACUGGAAGACUUGAGUGCAGAAGAGGAGAGUGGAACUCCAUGUGUAGCGGUGAAAUGCGUAGAUAUAUGGAAGAACACCAGUGGCGAAAGCGGCUCUCUGGUCUGUAACUGACGCUGAGGUUCGAAAGCGUGGGUAGCAAACAGGAUUAGAUACCCUGGUAGUCCACGCCGUAAACGAUGAAUGCUAGGUGUUGGAGGGUUUCCGCCCUUCAGUGCCGCAGCUAACGCAAUAAGCAUUCCGCCUGGGGAGUACGACCGCAAGGUUGAAACUCAAAGGAAUUGACGGGGGCCCGCACAAGCGGUGGAGCAUGUGGUUUAAUUCGAAGCAACGCGAAGAACCUUACCAGGUCUUGACAUCCUUUGACCACCUAAGAGAUUAGGCUUUC
rnacentral:rRNA from 2 species